rnacentral:misc_RNA from 1 species
GCUCCGUAGGUGAACCUGCGGAGGGAUCAUUACAGAGUUCAUGCCCUAACGGGUAGAUCUCCCACCCUAUGUUAUCAUCACUUUGUUGCUUUGGCGGGCCGUCAGGCCUCGGCUUGGCUACCGGCUCUCGCUGGUAAGCGCCCGCCAGAGAACCCCAAACCCUGAAUAUCAGUGUCGUCUGAGUACUAUAUAAUAGUUAAAACUCUCAACAACGGAUCUCUUGGUUCUGGCAUAGAUGAAGAACGCAGC